UAGGGAAUCUUCGGCAAUGGGGGCAACCCUGACCGAGCAACGCCGCGUGAGUGAAGAAGGUUUUCGGAUCGUAAAGCUCUGUUGUAAGUCAAGAACGAGUGUGAGAGUGGAAAGUUCACACUGUGACGGUAGCUUACCAGAAAGGGACGGCUAACUACGUGCCAGCAGCCGCGGUAAUACGUAGGUCCCGAGCGUUGUCCGGAUUUAUUGGGCGUAAAGCGAGCGCAGGCGGUUUGAUAAGUCUGAAGUUAAAGGCUGUGGCUCAACCAUAGUUCGCUUUGGAAACUGUCAAACUUGAGUGCAGAAGGGGAGAGUGGAAUUCCAUGUGUAGCGGUGAAAUGCGUAGAUAUAUGGAGGAACACCGGUGGCGAAAGCGGCUCUUUGGUCUGUAACUGACGCUGAGGCUCGAAAGCGUGGGGAGCGAACAGGAUUAGAUACCCUGGUAGUCCACGCCGUAAACGAUGAGUGCUAGGUGUUGGAUCCUUUCCGGGAUUCAGUGCCGCAGCUAACGCAUUAAGCACUCCGCCUGGGGAGUACGACCGCAAGGUUG
rnacentral:rRNA from 1 species